CACACAACCAGGACAGGACAGAACUGAAGACUACAUUCGCAGCUCGAGAUCCGGACUCGAACACUGGUGCAGGGUGCGGGAUGAGUUGGCCAAUCGGGGCCCCCCUAGGGGGCGGAGCCAGCCGGUGAGGGGCCCCGUAAAACGGUCCGGCGUUACCGGCAGAGACUCGGCGCGAUGCAAGCGGCGGGUUGGGCGUGGGGGCUGCGCUGGCCGCCGGAGCGGUGUCUCCAACGCUGCGAGCUGAACCCCUAAGGCGCAGAGCCCGCGGCUCCGGCAGGCGGGAGGUGGCCCCGGAGGCUGCCCGGAGGAGGCGGCCCGGUGGAGGUGGGGCCUGCGUGACUCCGCCCCGCAGCUCACCCGGCCCGGCGCAGCGCGGCGCUGCCCGCAGUGCUGCCGGCUCCGGGCGAUGGACGUCCCCGCCGCCCCGGCCCCUGCCGCCCCGGGCCCCGGCAGGAAGGAGCUGAAGAUCGUGAUCGUGGGGGACGGCGGCUGCGGCAAGACGUCGCUGCUCAUGGUGUUCAGCCAGGGCGCCUUUCCCGAGCACUACGCCCCCUCGGUGUUUGAGAAAUACUCGGCUAGCGUGACGGUGGGCAGUAAGGAGGUGACUCUGAACCUUUACGACACGGCCGGGCAGGAGGACUACGACCGCCUGCGACCCCUGUCCUACCAGAACACCCACCUCGUGCUCAUCUGCUAUGAUGUCAUGAACCCCACCAGCUAUGAGAAUGUCCUCAUCAAGUGGUUCCCAGAAGUCACACAUUUUUGCCGAGGGACCCCCAUGGUGCUCAUUGGCUGCAAGACUGAUCUGCGGAAAGACAAGGAGCAGCUGCGGAAGCUCCGGGCAGCGCAGCUGGAGCCCAUCACCUACAAUCAGGGCCUGAGCGCCUGCCAGCAGAUCCGGGCUGCACUCUAUCUCGAGUGCUCGGCCAAGUUCCGUGAAAACGUGGAGGACGUAUUCCGGGAGGCCGCCAAAGUGGCACUCAGCGCACUCAAGAAAGCGCAGCGGCAGAAGCAGCGCCGGCUCUGCGUGCUGCUGUGACCCUGGUCUGGACACAGGGACCUACCUGGGACUUUUGUGAGGUCCCUUUAAGGCCAACCCAGGUGGCCCU